GUGACAUACUCUAACAUUACAUAUUACUGGGAGUUUUAUUGUUCUGUUCUGUGAUAAACAGGUACACCACCUAGUACUGUGAGGGUUUUUUGUUGCUGUGGAGUUCAGUGAUAAAUGUUUUUUAUUCCAAAUAGGUCAAGGUAAAUAAGGAAAAUCCAGAGCUCCAAAGCAUAACAAUUAUGUGACAUAUUUAGUCUGCCCCUCUGUAAUGCUGAAGAGGCAGUAUGGCACCUCUGGCCGGCACUUCUGUUGGCUGAAGACCAUUAGUAGCUGUCUUCCUAGCUCAGGCCAUUUAGAGCGUUGCUGCGGAUUUCCGCAGGAAAGCUCUGACAUGCCAAGUGUGAGCUCGCGAGACAGUUACUCAUGGUCUGCACCCGGUGGAGUGGCAGACCAGAUUCCCAGUACAGUGGAACACCCUGAUCAGCAUGCCCCUCUCCCAACAAUGUUACAGGGAAUGAAGAAUGAAUAUUUGUUUUUAAAUCAUCAUUCAUUUAAUAAUUCCCCUAUACAUACACACUAUACAUGGAUGAAGGGGGAUGACUGAGUGAAAGGCCUAAAAGCCUAAGGCUGGUCCUGAUUACAUUUGACUGCACUAUCAUGCAUGUGUGAGAGAACAGCAAUGACCCUUCAUAGACAUAGCAAUCUAAAAACCAGGCAAGAGAUAUACAGAGACAAAGUAGGGACUAAAUUUCACUAUCACCCCAUCCCUUGAAAUAUGAUUAUUUCAUAGAGACAGAAUCUUUAUGAAAUACACUUUUUGACUGUGUUGGAAUUAUACUAUAUUCCAAACCAGAGAUUUACAGAGACAAAGUAAGGACAGCUUUGUCUCUGUAUACCUCAUGAGAUUUUUGUGAAACUCCAAC